rnacentral:rRNA from 1 species
AUUGAACGCUGGCGGCAGGCCUAACACAUGCAAGUCGAACGAGUCGCGGACGGGAGAGCAAUGUCUGGGAAACUGCCUGGUGGAUGGGGACAACUACUGGGAACGGAAGCUAAAUACGUAUACCAUCGGAUGUGCCCAGUUGGGAUUAGCUAGUAGGUGGGGUAAAGGCCCACCAAGGCGACGAUCCGUAACUGGUCUGAGAGGAUGAACAGUAACACUGGAACUGAGACACGGUCCAGAAUCCUACGGGAGGCAGCAGUGGGGAAUAUUGGACAAUGGGCGAAAGCCUGAUGCAGCCAGGCCGCGUGUAUGAAGAAGGCCUUCGGGUUGUAAAGUACUUUCAGCGGGGAGGCGUUACCAGCAGAAGAAGCACCGGCUAACUCCGUGCCAGCAGCCGCGGUAAUAC